rnacentral:rRNA from 1 species
AGUGAACGCUGGCGGUAGGCCUAACACAUGCCAGUCGAACGGCAGCACAGUAAGAGCUUGCUCUUACGGGUGGCGAGUGGCGGACGGGUGAGGAAUACAUCGGAAUCUACUUUUUCGUGGGGGAUAACGUAGGGAAACUUACGCUAAUACCGCAUACGACCUACGGGUGAAAGCAGGGGAUCUUCGGACCUUGCGCGAUUGAAUGAGCCGAUGUCGGAUUAGCUAGUUGGCGGGGUAAAGGCCCACCAAGGCGACGAUCCGUAGCUGGUCUGAGAGGAUGAUCAGCCACACUGGAACUGAGACACGGUCCAGACUCCUACGGGAGGCAGCAGUGGGGAAUAUUGGACAAUGGGCGCAAGCCUGAUCCAGCCAUACCGCGUGGGUGAAGAAGGCCUUCGGGUUGUAAAGCCCUUUUGUUGGGAAAGAAAAGCAGCAGGUUAAUACCCCGCUGUUCUGACGUUACCCAAAGAAGAAGCACCGGCUAACUUCGUG